UACGUAGGGGGCAAGCGUUGUCCGGAAUCAUUGGGCGUAAAGAGCGCGUAGGCGGCCCUGUAAGUCCGCUGUGAAAGUCAAGGGCUCAACCCUUGGAUGCCGGUGGAUACUGCAGGGCUAGAGUCCGGAAGAGGCGAGUGGAACUCCUGGUGUAGCGGUGAAAUGCGCAGAUAUCAGGAGGAACACCGAUGGCGAAGGCAGCUCGCUGGGACGGUACUGACGCUGAGGCGCGAAAGCGUGGGGAGCAAACAGG
rnacentral:rRNA from 1 species